UUGGAUUCAGAUAUUUAUUCUGAUAGUAGUUGUCCCGAUCUUCUUCAUCUCUGUCAUCAACCUGUUCAUCAGUUAUAAAAGAAAUCACAGGGAACAGCAUGAUCCUGAAGCAGGACCACUCCUGGAGGACCAUGGUAA